GCGGCGUGCUUAACACAUGCAAGUCGAACGGGAAUUACUUUAUUGAAACUUCGGUCGAUUUAAUUUAAUUCUAGUGGCGGACGGGUGAGUAACGCGUGGGUAACCUGCCUUAUACAGGGGGAUAACAGUCAGAAAUGGCUGCUAAUACCGCAUAAGCGCACAGAGCUGCAUGGCUCAGUGUGAAAAACUCCGGUGGUAUAAGAUGGACCCGCGUUGGAUUAGCUUGUUGGUGGGGUAACGGCCUACCAAGGCGACGAUCCAUAGCCGGCCUGAGAGGGUGAACGGCCACAUUGGGACUGAGACACGGCCCAGACUCCUACGGGAGGCAGCAGUGGGGAAUAUUGCACAAUGGGGGAGACCCUGAUGCAGCGACGCCGCGUGAAGGAAGAAGUAUUUCGGUAUGUAAACUUCUAUCAGCAGGGAAGAUAGUGACGGUACCUGACUAAGAAGCCCCGGCUAACUACGUGCCAGCAGCCGCGGUAAUACGUAGGGGGCAAGCGUUAUCCGGAUUUACUGGGUGUAAAGGGAGCGUAGACGGUGUGGCAAGUCUGAUGUGAAAGGCAUGGGCUCAACCUGUGGACUGCAUUGGAAACUGUCAUACUUGAGUGCCGGAGGGGUAAGCGGAAUUCCUAGUGUAGCGGUGAAAUGCGUAGAUAUUAGGAGGAACACCAGUGGCGAAGGCGGCUUACUGGACGGU
rnacentral:rRNA from 1 species